AUUGAACGCUGGCGGCAUGCCUUACACAUGCAAGUCGAACGGCUGCGGGGACUUCGGUCCGCCGGCGAGUGGCGAACGGGUGAGUAAUGUAUCGGAACGUACCAUUCAGUGGGGGAUAACUAUCCGAAAGGAUAGCUAAUACCGCAUAUUCUGUGAGCAGGAAUGCAGGGGAUCGCAAGACCUUGCGCUGAUUGAGCGGCCGAUGUCAGAUUCGCUAGUUGGUGAGGUAAAGGCUAAUCAAGGCGACGAUCUGUAGCGGGUCUGCGGGGAUGAACCGCCACACGGGAAGUGAGACACGGUACAAACUCCUGCGGGAGGGAGCAGUGGGGAAUUUUGGACAAUGGGGGCAACCCUGAUCCAGCCACGCAGCGUGAGUGAAGAAGGCCUUCGGGUUGUAAAGCUCUUUCGGCCGGGAAGAAAUCGCACGGGCUAAUACCCUGUGUGGAUGACGGUACCAGAAUAAGAAGCACCGGCUAACUACGUGCCAGCCGCCGCAGUAAAAC
rnacentral:rRNA from 1 species